rnacentral:rRNA from 1 species
UAGUGGCAGACGGGUGAGUAAUGCACAGGAAUCUACCUAGUAGUAUAGGAUAGCCACUAGAAAUGGUGGGUAAUACUGUAUAAUCCCUGCGGGGGAAAGAUUUAUCGCUACAUGAUGAGCCUAUGUUAGAUUAGCUAGUUGGUAGGGUAAAGGCCUACCAAGGCGAUGAUCUAUAGCUGGUCUGAGAGGAUGAUCAGCCACACUGGAACUGAGAUACGGUCCAGACUCCUACGGGAGGCAGCAGUGGGGAAUAUUGGACAAUGGGCGCAAGCCUGAUCCAGCUAUGCCGCGUGAGUGAGGAAGGCCUUAGGGUUGUAAAACUCUUUCAGUAGGGAAGAUAAUGAGGUUACCUA